rnacentral:rRNA from 1 species
ACGCACGCUUGCGGCGUGCUUCACACCUGCCAGUCGAACGGAAAGGCCCUGCUUUUGUGGGGUGCUCGAGUGGCGAACGGGUGAGUAACACGUGAGUAACCUGCCCUUGACUUUGGGAUAACUUCAGGAAACUGGGGCUAAUACCGGAUAGGAGCUCCUGCUGCAUGGUGGGGGUUGGAAAGUUUCGGCGGUUGGGGAUGGACUCGCGGCUUAUCAGCUUGUUGGUGGGGUAGUGGCUUACCAAGGCUUUGACGGGUAGCCGGCCUGAGAGGGUGACCGGCCACAUUGGGACUGAGAUACGGCCCAGACUCCUACGGGAGGCAGCAGUGGGGAAUAUUGCACAAUGGGCGGAAGCCUGAUGCAGCAACGCCGCGUGCGGGAUGACGGCCUUCGGGUUGUAAACCGCUUUCGCCUGUGACGAAGCGUGAGUGACGGUAAUGGGUAAAGAAGCACCGGCUAACUACGUG